rnacentral:misc_RNA from 1 species
AUAUGAACAUGUUUGGGAAAAAUAUAAUAAUACAAAUACAACAACAUCUAAACAAACUCAAAGAUUUAACAUGCCCAUUAUAAACAUCUUUUACAAUAAGUUAACAUAUCAUGCAUAGAUAUGUACCUCAUGUUCAUAUCUUUCUUUGCAAAAAUGUUUCUAACAAAAUUAUAUUUAAUAUCAAUAUGCUUAUAGAUACCUUAGUCUAGUACAAAGUGCAUAUCAGAUUAUCAAUUGCAUUAACAUAAGGAACUUUUCCUAUUUGCUCCUUUUUGAUAAAUCAUGCCCUCGGCUUGAUUUGAUUUAUUAGAUGUUUCUUCUAUUGCAUUCAUCCAUUCAUCCCUGGCAAGGCACAUGAGUAAUGAGCUUAUGAUCACUUCUUUCUUUAUCAUGUCGAGUAACUAUAAAUGCUUUCCCUUCGAUCUCAAAAUGACAAUGGGGAACGUGCGCACAACUCAAUAAUCGUGAUUGAGAUUGAUAAAUUGACUUGAUAAUAUUUAUGUUGCUCCCACUAGGACCAACAAUAUUAUAUUGAUUCACUCUAAGUUGUAUUUUGAUGGCAAUUGAAACGUGUUAUAUUAUCAGUUAAAAUACUCCCCACUUGAAAAAGAAUCUAUUUGAGUUUGCAUAGCAGAAGCGGUUUGGUCUUCAAUUUCAUAUACAUCUUAGUCUUGACCUAUCUCACCCUAUUGAGAAAGAUCAUUCUCUAAGAAUGUGACAUCUCGUAAUUCAAAUUUAGUUACUGUAUCACUAUUUUGUUCUCCCAGAAAUACAUAUUUUUUUUAGUAUUCUGAGUAUUUUAUAAGGAUAUAUUUCCUUCUCCUUUGACUUAAUUUUCUAUAUUUACGAGAAGAACUGUGAACAAAAAUAACACACCCCAAGGUUUCAAAAAAUUAAAAAAACUUAAGUCGGGUUUUCUAUUAACUCAUUCUCAUAUGGAUUCAUAGUAAUUAAUAUUGAAGGUCCUUGAUUAAGGGACAAAUUCGACAAUAAGCAACAUAUCACCCCAAUAGGUAAUAGACAAAUUAAGAGUCUCUCACUUUUUCAGAACAUAUGGAAUUUUCAUAUUGAUAUAUAAAAUAUAAAUUAAUAUGAGAUGAUAUGUAAUAAAUAUUAAAUUCAUAUACAUAAAUAUCCUAUAUAAUAAUUAAUUAUGUUAAUACUUAUUUCAUAUUAGACUAAGAAUCAAAAGUUC